rnacentral:rRNA from 1 species
UACGUAGGGUGCAAGCGUUAUCCGGAAUUAUUUGGCGUAAAGAGCUCGUAGGCGGUUUGUCACGUCUGCUGUGAAAACUGGAGGCUCAACCUCCAGCCUGCAGUGGGUACGGGCAGACUAGAGUGUGGUAGGGGAGACUGGAAUUCCUGGUGUAGCGGUGAAAUGCGCAGAUAUCAGGAGGAACACCGAUGGCGAAGGCAGGUCUCUGGGCCACUACUGACGCUGAGAAGCGAAAGCAUGGGGAGCGAACAGG